AUCCAGUUGACAAAUCUCAAAUAAGACAAAAUGCGCGUCCUGGAU
rnacentral:hammerhead_ribozyme from 1 species